rnacentral:rRNA from 1 species
CGGAGGCAGCAGUGGGGAAUAUUGGACAAUGGGGGCAACCCUGAUCCAGCAAUGCCGCGUGUGUGAAGAAGGCCUGCGGGUUGUAAAGCACUUUCGAUGGGAAAGAAAAGCCUGGGGCUAAUAUCCUCAGGUAUUGACGUUACCCAGAGAAGAAGCACCGGCUAACUCUGUGCCAGCAGCCGCGGUAAUACAGAGGGUGCGAGCGUUAAUCGGAAUUACUGGGCGUAAAGGGCGCGUAGGCGGUCUUGUAAGUUGGAUGUGAAAUCCCUGGGCUUAACCUGGGAACUGCAUUCAAAACUGCUUGACUAGAGUUUGGUAGAGGGUAGUGGAAUUCCCGGUGUAGCGGUGAAAUGCGUAGAUAUCGGGAGGAACAUCAGUGGCGAAGGCGGCUACCUGGACCAGAACUGACGCUGAGGCGCGAAAGCGUGGGGAGCAAACAGGAUUAGAUACCCUAGUAGUCA